ACAGCAGAGAGCGAGUGGUGUGGGUCAGUGAGGAAACACACACGUCGACACAACUCAUCACCGACUGUCAGGAGCGUGGCGACUGCUCCUGCUACCAACAGAGCCGCAUUGCUGCCGCGGUAAAGGGUUCAGGUAUAAUUAUGCAAAGGAAAGAAUCCAGCAAAGAACUGCCAGAGAAGAAAUAAAAAAGAUUUUAUAUGAAAGCACCCACCUUGAUCCUGAAAGAAAACAAACCAACCAACAGCAGCAACUGAGCAACUUGAACACGGAAAACAAAACUCUUGAAGACAGAACCUCGAGGGCUGGGUGUGCUGCCAAGGGACAUCACUGCUGUGCGGAGCUGAAUAACGUCCUUCACCCAAGCUCCGCCCACCCGGCAAGGGUCCGGCAGAUGAGCCGAAACAGCCUUCGUCGCUUCCUGCCCAACAGAGACCGUGUCCCCCACACUUCUCAUAAGGAAGCUAUUAAAAAUGAUAAAUCACUAAGUAUUGUUCCCUUGGGAAAAGGAAGUCCAACUGGUUCUAUAAACAUGAUUUAUGGAAGUGCGUUUAUUUACGUGCUAUAAAAACAUCUUAAGCGUGGGAAGUUAAUUUAAAAAACAAUUUUUUUUCCUUCUCAAAUUGACAGAAAAGACUCCAUAACCUUAUUUUCCCGAAGUAAUUUUAGUGUGGAGAUAAAUUAAGAAAUCUUAUGGAAACUGAGCAAACCAUGGGAGUAAUACUUUGUGUGUACUGCUAUGCAACAGAGAACAAGGACAGAAGAAAACAAGAUAGUGCCUGACUUCAAACAGCGGGACAGACUUUCUCUUUGGUGGUGCUGGGGACUGAAGGCUGUGCCCUGGCACAGUGGGCAGCACUCCCCCUGAAGAGGGCGGCCUCAGCCACCCAGGGAUGGUCCAAUAUUUCACACUUCUAUGGGGGAACAGGGCAAUCAGCGUGACGAAACUCUUAAUCUCACCUGAACCCACAGAAACUAGAUUUUGAUAAAACAUGAAUCUUUUUCUUUUUUUUGGUACCUGGGAUCAAACUCGGGACCUUGCGCUUUUGAGGCAGGCGGUGGAACCACUGAGCUAAAUCCCCAGCCCAAUAAAACAUUAAUCUUGUGAAGACUUCAGAGAUAAUCUCUUAUUGCACGCAGGGGCACGCACACAUACACACACACACAUACACAAAUAAAACCAAACAAAAAUUUAUUUAACAUUCAAGGUUCUGAGGAAGGAAUGGGCAAGAUGAAAGAAAGAACCCU